UACGGGGGGGGCAAGCGUUGUUCGGAAUUACUGGGCGUAAAGGGCGCGUAGGCGGCCUGCUAAGUCGGACGUGAAAUCCCUCGGCUCAACCGGGGAACUGCGUCCGAUACUGGUGGGCUCGAAUCCGGGAGAGGGAUGUGGAAUUCCAGGUGUAGCGGUGAAAUGCGUAGAUAUCUGGAGGAACACCGGUGGCGAAGGCGGCAUCCUGGACCAACACUGACACUGAGGCACGAAAGCGUGGGGAGCAAACAGG
rnacentral:rRNA from 1 species